GAUGAACGCUGGCGGCGUGCUUAACACAUGCAAGUCGAACGGGAAACCUUUUAUUGAAGCUUCGGCAGAUUUAGCUGGUUUCUAGUGGCGGACGGGUGAGUAACGCGUGGGUAACCUGCCCUAUACAGGGGGAUAACAACCAGAAAUGGUUGCUAAUACCGCAUAAGCGCACAGGGCCGCAUGGUCCGGUGUGAAAAACUCCGGUGGUAUAGGAUGGACCCGCGUUGGAUUAGCCAGUUGGCAGGGUAACGGCCUACCAAAGCGACGAUCCAUAGCCGGCCUGAGAAGGUGAACGGCCACAUUGGGACUGAGACACGGCCCAGACUCCUACGGGAGGCAGCAGUGGGGAAUAUUGCACAAUGGGGGAAACCCUGAUGCAGCGACGCCGCGUGAAGGAAGAAGUAUCUCGGUAUGUAAACUUCUAUCAGCAGGGAAGAUAGUGACGGUACCUGACUAAGAAGCCCCGGCGAACUACG
rnacentral:rRNA from 1 species